rnacentral:misc_RNA from 1 species
UUCCGUAAGAAUUAAUUCUUGUAAGUUCUCACACCUACGAGUAAACAUCAGUUUUUGUUAUCAAGUUCUACGGUAUCAAGAUCCUUAUAGGAGAAAAAAUUAAUCUCACCUGCCUAUAUUUGAAUUUAGAGUAGAAAGCCUAUUUUGAUCGACUUUGAGUAUAGUAAGUUUCUGUAAUUCUCCAAGACCAUCUGGCAAUUUUUCAAUAACAUUUUGCGAUAAAUGCAAAUCUGUUAAAGAUUCUAACCCUCCUAUUUCUUCCGGAAGAUCUUCCAGACGGUUUUCAGAUACAUCCAGGCAUGCUAACGUUUUCAAUUCUCCGAUUUCCGGUGGUAAAUGUUGCAAUUGAUUAUGAUCUAGCCAUAAUUCUUGUAAUGCUGGUAAUUUUCCUAUAUGAUAUGCAAAAUCUUCAUUCCGACGUUCUAUUUUAAGAUAAAUCCGAAGGCGAAUGGCGUAGUUUGUGAACAACGAUUUCAUUUUAU